UAGUCCAUGCCGUAAACGAUGAUUACUCGACAUUAGCAUAGCUAGUGUCCAAGCGAAAGUAAUAAGUAAUCCACCUGGGGAGUACGAUCGCAAGAUUGAAACUCAAAGGAAUUGACGGGGGCCCGCACAAGCGGUGGAGCAUGUGGUUUAAUUCGAUGAUACGCGAGGAACCUUACCAGGGCUUAAAUGUAGAUUGACAGGUUUAGAGAUAGACUUUUCUUCGGACAAUUUACAAGGUGCUGCAUGGUUGUCGUCAGCUCGUGCCGUGAGGUGCCAGGUUAAGUCCUAUAACGAGCGCAACCCCUGCCGUUAGUUGCCAGCAUUUAAAGAUGGGGACUCUAACGGGACUGCCGGUGCAAACCGCGAGGAAGUGGGGACGACGUCAAAUCAUCACGGCCCUUACGUCCUGGGCUACACACGUGCUACAAUGGCCGGUACAGAGAGUUGCCACAUCGCAAGAUGGAGCGGAUCUUUAAAACCGGUCACAGUUCGGAUCGGGGUCUGCAACUCCG
rnacentral:rRNA from 1 species